CCUACGGCGGCAGCAGUGGGGAAUAUUGGACAAUGGGCGGAAGCCUGAUCCAGCCAUGCCGCGUGUGUGAAGAAGGCCUUCGGGUUGUAAAGCACUUUCAGUGGGGAAGAAAGCCUUGGGGCUAAUACCCUCGAGGAAGGACAUCACCCACAGAAGAAGCACCGGCUAACUCCGUGCCGGCAGCCGCGGUAAUACGGAGGGUGCGAGCGUUAAUCGGAAUUACUGGGCGUAAAGCGCGCGUAGGCGGUCUGAUAAGCCGGUUGUGAAAGCCCCGGGCUCAACCUGGGAACGGCAUCCGGAACUGUCAGGCUAGAGUGCAGGAGAGGAAGGUAGAAUUCCCGGUGUAGCGGUGAAAUGCGUAGAGAUCGGGAGGAAUACCAGUGGCGAAGGCGGCCUUCUGGACUGACACUGACGCUGAGGUGCGAAAGCGUGGGUAGCAAACAGGAUUAGAUACCCUGGUAGUC
rnacentral:rRNA from 1 species